rnacentral:rRNA from 1 species
UCUGGUAAUGAUGGCAGAGAGGUCACACCCGUUCCCAUACCGAACACGGAAGUUAAGCUCUCUAGCGCCGAUGGUAGUUGGGACCUUGUCCCUGUGAGAGUAGGACGUUGGCGCCU